rnacentral:rRNA from 1 species
CUCUAAGGAGACUGCCGGUGACAAACCGGAGGAAGGUGGGGAUGACGUCAAGUCCUCAUGGCCCUUAUGGGUAGGGCUUCACACGUCAUACAAUGGUCGGAACAGAGGGUUGCCAACCCGCGAGGGGGAGCUAAUCCCAGAAAACCGAUCGUAGUCCGGAUUGCACUCUGCAACUCGAGUGCAUGAAGUUGGAAUCGCUAGUAAUCGCGGAUCAGCAUGCCGCGGUGAAUACGUUCCCGGGUCUUGUACACACCGCCCGUCACACCAUGGGAGUGGGUUUUACCAGAAGUGGCUAGUCUAACCGCAAGGA